GCCGAAAUAGCUCAGUUGGGAGAGCGUCAGACUGAAUAUUUAAAGGUUCCUGGUUCAAUCUUGGUUUUUGGCA